rnacentral:rRNA from 1 species
AGUAUAGCCCGAAGAAAUUCGGAUUAAUCCUCCAUAGUAUUUUCUAAUGGCAUCAUUUGGGAAAUUAAAGCUUCGGCGGUAUAAGAUGGGCAUGCGUCCUAUUAGCUAGAUGGUAAGGUAAUGGCUUACCAUGGCAACGAUAGGUAGGGGGCCUGAGAGGGUGAUCCCCCACACUGGUACUGAGACACGGACCAGACUCCUACGGGAGGCAGCAGUGAGGAAUAUUGGGCAAUGGAGGCAACUCUGACCCAGCCAUGCCGCGUGCAGGAAGAAUGCCCUAUGGG